rnacentral:rRNA from 1 species
GACGAACGCUGGCGGCGUGCUUAACACAUGCAAGUCGAACGGAAAGGCCCUGCUUUUGUGGGGUGCUCGAGUGGCGAACGGGUGAGUAACACGUGAGUAACCUGCCCUUGACUUUGGGAUAACUUCAGGAAACUGGGGCUAAUACCGGAUAGGAGCUCCUGCUGCAUGGUGGGGGUUGGAAAGUUUCGGCGGUUGGGGAUGGACUCGCGGCUUAUCAGCUUGUUGGUGGGGUAGUGGCUUACCAAGGCUUUGACGGGUAGCCGGCCUGAGAGGGUGACCGGCCACAUUGGGCCUGAGAUACGGCCCAGACUCCUACGGGAGGCAGCAGUGGGGAAUAUUGCACAAUGGGCCGAAGCCUGAUGCAGCAACGCCGCGUGCGGGAUGACGGCCUUCGGGUUGUAAACCGCUUUCGCCUGUGACGAAGCGUGAGUGACGGUAAUGGGUAAAGAAGCACCGGCUAACUACGUG